rnacentral:rRNA from 1 species
UACGGGGGGGGCAAGCGUUGUUCGGAAUUACUGGGCGUAAAGGGCUCGUAGGCGGCCAACUAAGUCAGACGUGAAAUCCCUCGGCUUAACCGGGGAACUGCAUCUGAUACUGGAUGGCUUGAGUUCGGGAGAGGGAUGCGGAAUUCCAGGUGUAGCGGUGAAAUGCGUAGAUAUCUGGAGGAACGCCGGUGGCGAAGGCGGCAUCCUGGACCGGCACUGACGCUGAGGUGCGAAAGCGUGGGGAGCAAACAGG